UACGUAGGUGGCAAGCGUUGUCCGGAUUUACUGGGCGUAAAGGAGCGACGCAGGCGGUCGGUUCAAGUCGCGUGUGAAAGCCCCCGGCUCCAACUGGGGAGGGUCACGGCGAUACUGAUCGACUCGAAGGCAGGAGAGGGAAGUGGAAUUCCCGGUGUGAGUGGUGAAAUGACGUAGAUAUCGGGAGGAACACCAGUGGCGAAGGCGGCUUCCUGGUUCAGCACCGACGUUCAGGCACGAAAGCGUGGGGAGCAAACAGG
rnacentral:rRNA from 1 species